rnacentral:rRNA from 1 species
GAUGAACGCUGGCGGCGUGCCUAAUACAUGCCAGUCGAGCGAACAGACGAGGAGCUUGCUCCUCUGACGUUAGCGGCGGACGGGUGAGUAACACGUGGAUAACCUACCUAUAAGACUGGGAUAACUUCGGGAAACCGGAGCUAAUACCGGAUAAUAUAUUGAACCGCAUGGUUCAAUAGUGGAAGACGGUUUUGCUGUCACUUAUAGAUGGAUCCGCGCCGCAUUAGCUAGUUGGUAAGGUAACGGCUUACCAAGGCGACGAUGCGUAGCCGACCUGAGAGGGUGAUCGGCCACACUGGAACUGAGACACGGUCCAGACUCCUACGGGAGGCAGCAGUAGGGAAUCUUCCGCAAUGGGCGAAAGCCUGACGGAGCAACGCCGCGUGAGUGAUGAAGGUCUUCGGAUCGUAAAACUCUGUUAUUAGGGAAGAACAAAUGUGUAAGUAACUAUGCACGUCUUGACGGUACCUAAUCAGAAAGCCACGGCUAACUACGUG